CUCUGCGACUACGGGGUCCACCAAGACGAGGUUCCGCUCUCUAGGCCAUCUUGAUUUGCUAAGAUAUCACAAGUCACCAUGAAGUUGGCAUUUUGUCUUUUGGCUAUGAUGUUGUUCGUGGUCCUGCUGCCACAGGAUGGAGAAGGUGGAUGGCGAAUUCGAAUCCGACUUCGGAGAGUCUGGGAAAGAACAAAAAGGUUGGUGAAAAGGGUAGAAAGAGUCAUCAAGGUUUUCAACGAGGUCAAAGGGGUGAUCAAAGCAAACGCGGAUG